UGAAGCUCGACAAAUGACCUCGGGGAAAACGUCAGCAUUCCUCAAAACCCCUCCCAGCACAGUAGUGCACUCCCAGCUCCCUGAGGGCCUGGCUCUAAGUCUGAGGAAACACACUCUCUCUCGAACUUGAACUUGCCAGAGAGAACUCAGGCACUGACUGUGACGACGCGGGUGGGGAGAGACUGUGCACCUACACGUGUCACUUCACAAAGGCCUCCAGGGGCUUAUGAUCAGGCAAAGGAGACACCAGGAAAGAGGAGCAGAGUGGCUAGGGCAGUGCACUGCAGAUGCAUGGACGAAAGCUCGCAGCGACACAGGUAUGGGGUGUCUAAUCAGGGAUGAGUGUGAGCAGCAGAAUGAGGAGCAUGCUUUCCCAGAGGAAGAGAGGAAGCCACUGGAGAGAUGAAGGAUGCCAUGGACAGGAGGUGGUGUCUCUGGAGCCGCCGAGCAGCAGCCUCAUUGCUCAGAAGAUGAAGAUGCUGACGAAGACCCAGACAGGAAAAAAGGAAGAAAAAGCAUCCUGAUUGUUCCAUUAGCAAAGCCACAGUCCCGGAGAGCAAGGGGAGGGGCACAGCAGGCAGCCGCACCCAUGGGAUGCAUCUGCAGCUUGUGAGCAAUGCAUGAAAGAUGAAUCACACAGCAGCAAUGCCUUCAGCUUCCGUGUGCUAUGGCUCACUCAGCACCAGCUCUGCAGGCUGCCUAAGCCAGAAGUCAGUCUCUGCCUUUAGACUUGCUCACUUCUUUUAGGAACGGAGAUAUCCUCUGAUCCCUUGUCCUACAACCUCGAUUAAUAUCUUUCCAACAGCCAUCUGCCAAACUCAAGAAGACCCUGGAACAACCUAAUUGGAAAAGUUUCCAUCUUAUCCCUUGGAAAACUAUAGAAAAGUAGUGUCACACAAAUGUUUAAUUUCUGAUUUCUACAAUUUCAGAUACCAGAGUUUAUCUGUUACCAUGACAACUAACAGCUUUAUAAAUGUUUUCUAGCCUCUGCUAUUUUCUGGAACUUAUCUACAUUUCAGUAUUUGCUUAAUAAUUUUGAGCUGACACUAGCAACAUAAUUGUGUCUGGAUUGUGUAUGUGUAUGUCUUGUGUGUGUUGGCAGGGGGUGGGUAUAACCUAUGUCAGUGUUUUUCAAUGUGAGCAAAUUUUAAUAAACUUUUAUAUUUAAUGUGAACAUUAACUGUCACAUUCC
rnacentral:lncRNA from 1 species